rnacentral:rRNA from 1 species
CACGUAGGGUGCGAGCGUUGUCCGGAAUUAUUGGGCGUAAAGAGCUCGUAGGCGGUGUGUCGCGUCGGCCGUGAAAACCUGCAGCUUAACUGUGGGCUUGCGGUCGAUACGGGCAUCACUGGAGUUCGGCAGGGGAGACUGGAAUUCCUGGUGUAGCGGUGAAAUGCGCAGAUAUCAGGAAGAACCCCCGUGGCGAAGGCGGCUCUCUGGAACGCGACUGACGCUGAGGCGCGAAAGCGUGGGGGGCAAACAGG